rnacentral:rRNA from 1 species
AUGAGAGUUCAACAGUACGUGAAACUGUAUAGUGGUAAACGGAGGGGUUUCUCGAAGUCUGUACCGGAGGUUCAGGUUGACGGUAGCUCAGUAGUAGUGUUUGAGUGUCGAUACAUAUCGCUAGAUCUCUACAUUUCUGUUUGUGUUGCUGGCGGCUGCACUUCUCCGGUGCUUCACACGACCAACCGCUGGCAUCAGACCGCAGGCAUAGGUGAAGUUCGUACCUUGUGUUCGAGCCCUACGCUCUGGACUUUGAAGCCGGCGGGUAAUUGAGUAGUCAUGUAUAGCAUGUCUGCAUCUCGGUCGUGAGUAGGUUGGCGGCCCCUCCGACCCGUCUUGAAACACGGACC